UACGUAGGGGGCAAGCGUUGUCCGGAUUUACUGGGCGUAAAGCGCACGUAGGCGGAUUGUUAAGUCAGGGGUGAAAUCCUGGAGCUCAACUCCAGAACUGCCUUUGAUACUGGCAAUCUAGAGUCCGGAAGAGGUGAGUGGAACUCCUAGUGUAGAGGUGGAAUUCGUAGAUAUUAGGAAGAACACCAGUGGCGAAGGCGGCUCACUGGUCCGGUACUGACGCUGAGGUGCGAAAGCGUGGGGAGCAAACAGG
rnacentral:rRNA from 1 species